AGCGAACGCUGGCGGCAGGCCUAACACAUGCAAGUCGAACGAAGUCUUCGGACUUAGUGGCGGACGGGUGAGUAACACGUGGGAACGUGCCUUUAGGUUCGGAAUAACUCAGGGAAACUUGUGCUAAUACCGAAUGUGCCCCUCGGGGGAAAGAUUUAUCGCCUUUAGAGCGGCCCGCGUCUGAUUAGCUAGUUGGUGAGGUAAAGGCUCACCAAGGCGACGAUCAGUAGCUGGUCUGAGAGGAUGAGCAGCCACAUUGGGACUGAGACACGGCCCAAACUCCUACGGGAGGCAGCAGUGGGGAAUCUUGCGCAAUGGGCGAAAGCCUGACGCAGCCAUGCCGCGUGAAUGAUGAAGGUCUUAGGAUUGUAAAAUUCUUUCACCGGGGACGAUAAUGACGGUACCCGGAGAAGAAGCCCCGGCUAACUUCGUGCCAGCCGCCGCGGUAAUAC
rnacentral:rRNA from 1 species